UCGAGCAUUCCAACUAAUGGUGUUUUUCAGCCAGACACGUUUCUCUGUGAAGCUAUAAAAAACCUUGAAUCGGUGCCAAGAUGAAAGAGGGGUGGCCAUAAAGAAAGAAUGUAAUGACCCUGACACACGUUGAAGUGCUUGUUUGUCCCCAAAACCUGCUCAGCUUACAGACGCAACUCAGCAGCUGCUCUUGAGAUUUAUCGACCUACGCUGUCGACAAGGGUUGGCUAUGCUGCGGCACUCAAAAACAACUUGUGUUAUCGGCUGAACAUAAGAGCUGCCUCUGAUAUGGACAUCGGUAAUUCAGGCCAGCAGACAUAAUGCAGUUGCCAAGAGGAGAGGCAUCGCUGAUGGUUGGAGGCACAACGACAUCACAUGAAGUCAAUUCUCAGAUGAUGUCAACAUCAAAGGGUGAGUCCACAUUCCAAACGCUGUUCUCACAUAGCUAAUCUUAAACAUUGCCAGCGUUUAAGCACCUAGACACAAAUCGCCACUUUUGAAUGAUCACAGAAUAUUUACACAAUGCCGGUAGCAAACAUUAUUGUAGGAAUAAGAUGCCUAAGCCGCACUGGUGCUCCAUCAUACACUGUGUGCAUGUUUAAGAGACAAGCAUUACCUGCAUGCUACUUUUCUAAUAGGAUGUAAGCAGGUUUCCACGUUAUUGCCACAUUUGUGCUCUUUGCCCAGAACAUGCAUUAGAUGCCUGUCCUGAGGAAUGUCCUAUGCAUUUAUGUGCUGGCUAGAUCUGUCCUUGCAUUGGACACUGUUACAUUACACAUUGAUUCUAAAUUCUGUUGCCAGUGGUACCAUCUGGUUGGAAUGAAGUAUAAACACAUUUAAGGCGCAAUUAUUCAAAUCUGAUAAAAUAUUGACGCCUAAGUACUCGCUAAAUGUGCAGUGGGCACAGCCUUUCGUUUUUAAAUGUGUUCGCUGUUCUCAGUGGUGAACAUAAUGUGAAAGUGUGUGUGCCGUGGUUUAAGCUGCAUGUGUUUAAUUCCUGUCCAAAAGUGUACAGUUCUACCAUCUACAUACAGGUCUUGAUGUGCAUUGCUAAACAAUGGAUUGAUAUAAACAGAAACCCAAAUUUCACACAGGAAAAGUGACCUAGCAAUACUUUCAGGAAGUGUUUCAGGAAGAUUUAAGCCCUGCAUGAAUGUAUGUUGACUAAUGUGAAACAUGAAUACCAGAUCCAUGUUUAUACAUGUUUACAGCAAAAAUGAGAUGGUACACAUAAAUGUGCCACCUCUUCCUUCUGUGUGUUGUCUGAACCAACUAGCCCGUCUGAUUUACUGUAACUGAGAAGUACAAUACACUUAUUCAGUUUACAACAUGAAAUGAACUAAUGUAAUACCAUGCAGUCCUGCAUUUUUAUUUUUGACAGCUAGCUAUCAAGGCUAUUUUUGGAAGUGCCUGUGUUAUCUGUCCAUUGAGCACUCUGUGUAUCUUCUAAACUGUUAUCAGAGGGAAAAAAAGUUAGUUCGGGAAAGUACCAACAGACUGCAUGCAUUAUAAUUCUCAAGCUAGUAAACACGUGUAGAGAUGUGGACCCCCACGACAGCCGAGCAUAGGCCAGGGGACAUCUCUACCCAUUAGAAAAACCGGUGGGUUCCCGGCGGCACCGGGAUUUGAACUCGGUACCUCCCGCAUACGAGGCGGAUGCUCUACCGCUAGGCCAUCGCUAGGCCAUCGCUGCGGUACUUGAUGGCAAUAGGACAUUAGCAACUUCACCUUGCAUACACACAUGGCUUUGUUGAACUUGUAAUGCACCCCUUUGUAACAACAUUUAAGUAUUCUGCGCUAGCUUAGACUUAGUUUUUACCAGCAGUACUAUCAUUUAGAGGCGCUUUACCCCCCCGCUACAUACUAUGUGAAUCGCAGCAGAUACGUGUGUCAGACACACUGCAAUGCCAGUGAUAUUUAAUGCAUUGCUACUUUUCUCUUCAGCAGAGAUAUUGUUUUUAUGUCAACUAUACUCUUAUUUUUUCACAGUUGAUUACAUCUUUAGUAUUUUUAGUGAUAUUUUAAAAACACAAUUGGCAGUUGUGGUUUCCAGCAAGAUUGAAGAAUUUGCGUGUGCUGUGCAUGAGAACCCUAGCGAAUUUCAGCCAGCAUCAGUCCCACUUGAUUGCAUCUUUUUGAACCUGCCUUAGUCAUGCUAGACCUACACAUACACUUACACAGAGACCCUGCUUUAUCAAUAGAUAGACUUCUGGCAAAUAACCUUCCUAGUCACUGCAGUAACCUGCAUCUAUGAUCCAAUAUGUCAUAUUUCCUGCUUUGGUCAGGUGGGUGGAGAAAUUUUACUACUUAUUGAAGCAGGGCCCAAUAGCCCUGCUUCAAUAAUAAAAAUAGUAAUAGCUACUACCUGUAUUACCAGAUAAGAAAUAUCCUCUCUUGCCAAUACACUACGUGCACCCAAAUCUUUUGAACCAAGCUUUGGAUCAGUUUUCCUUUUGAUUGCAACUUGCAGUGAUAAGAAAUGAGCACUGGGAAUAUGACUGGCAACAAAUUUUGCAGCAAUAACACUUUAGUGCUUACUCAAAAUUUGGAUGCUUUGUUUUAUAACAAUGUACAAACCUACAGGCCACUGCUUUCGCAACCAAGGCUAUCGACAGGCUAUGUUGCGCAGCUACUAAUGCCUUAACCAUAUGCAACUACUUCCACACGCUGCUGCUUUUGUCCCAUGUGAAAUCCCAUUCCAAAAGUUCUGACACUCGUGUUAAUUGGUCUUCGCAUCUACUGAUAGCAGCACGCACUUUCCUGCUUACGUCAUUAUUUGUUCACUUCCACACCAUGCCACCUUUGGCAGAUACAUGGUGAUGUGCAGUUCAUGUGUGUAUGUGUUGUUACAUGACAAUCCUAGAACUUGGAUUGCACCUGAGAUAAACUGCACCAUUUCAGCCUCUUCUCGAUCUUUUAGUUCCAGGGGUGCUACAGGAACUUGCUAUGCGGUCAGGAAAGUCCACAUGGUUACAAAUGCAGUGGCCCGCACGCAUAUAAAAGAGGUUGUACUCGCAUGUGAAUAUUUGUUAUGUACGAAUAAAGUCUUUUAUUUUGAA